rnacentral:rRNA from 1 species
AACGUAGGAGACAAACGUUAUCCGGAGUUACUGGGCGUAAAGGGCGUGUAGGUGGUUUCGUAAGUCUGGCGUGAAAUUUCUCGGCUUAACCGAGGCAGGUCGUCGGAUACUGCGGGACUUGAGGACGGUAGAGGCGUGUGGAAUUCCGGGUGUAGUGGUGAAAUGCGUAGAGAUCGGGAAGAACAUCAGUGGCGAAGGCGGCCUGCUGGGCUGUUGCUGACGCUGAGGCGCGACAGCGUGGGGAGCAAACAGG